rnacentral:rRNA from 1 species
UAUUUAUUAGAUAUUAAGCCAAUAUUCAUUGUGUCUAUUGUGGUGAAUCAUAGUAACUGAUCGAAUCCCUUUUUGUGGAUAAAUCAUUCAAGUUUCUGCCCUAUCAGCUUUCGAUGGUAGUGUAUUGGACUACCAUGGCAGUCACGGGUAACGGAGAAUUAGGGUUCGGUUCCGGAGAGGGAGCCUGAGAAACGGCUACCACAUCUAAGGAAGGCAGCAGGCGCGUAAAUUACCCAAUCUUGACACAAGGAGGUAGUGACAAGAAAUAACUGUGUGUGGCUCUAUGCUGCACAUCCGGAAUGUGUGACAGGUUAAGCGUGUUGCGAGUAGCUAUUGGAGGGCAAGUCUGGUGCCAGCAGCCGCGGUAAUUCCAGCUCCAAGAGUGUAUAUUAAAGUUGUUGCGGUUGAAAAGCUCGUAGUUGGAUUUAUGCUAUGCUGGUACAGUCGACCCCCUGGGUAGGACUUGUAUUGUUGCAUUGCACACUGUAGAAUUUGUGUAUGUUUUUCAGUAAAUGUGCAGAAUACUACUUAGUUACUUUGAGGAAAGUGGAGUGUCACACGCAGGUUGCGCCGUGAACAUGCUAGCAUGGCAUGACGCUGUAUGACUACGAGUCUUUUUGAACGGUUUCGGGACACGUGGUAAUGAUUGAUAUGAGGUGUUGGGGAUACUCAUAUUUGACAGUUAGAGGUGAAAUUCUUGGAUUUGUCAAAGAUGAACAAAUGCAAUAGCAUUUAUCAUGGAUGUUUCAUUUGAUCAAGAACGAAAGUUAGGGGAUCGAAGACGAUCAGAUACCGUCCUAGUCUCAACCAUAAACGAUGCCGACCAGGGAUUGGCGGAUGUUACUUAUAGGACUCCGCCAGCACCUUAUGAGAAAUCAAAGUCUUUGG